rnacentral:lncRNA from 1 species
GUUUAUUAGAAGCCCCAUUUGGGUACAGUCACUGUUAGUUAAAUCAUCAAUCAUAAACUUGAAUAUGAGCAGUAGAUAUAAGAAUAAUACAGCUUAAUAUUUAGACAGUAAUUUAACAGUUUACUUGCUUUGUUCUACAUGCUUUAUCACAUUUAUUAUAAAGAUGCAAAACAUGCAGAUUUCCUCAGGGUUUAUAUUUCACAGCUCAUAACAAAAUAAUUUCCAAUAAUAAAUGUAAUAAAAUAUAAGAAGACGUGUGUAUUAUUCAUAAUUUGCGUCGGAAUUUUCUUUCACAUGCAGAACUGUAGAAUUCAGCUUUAAUGUUAGAUAGUCUUACUGUUAGAUAGUCUUUACCUUCUGUAAAACCUGAUCAGUAAACGUCACCCACAACUGUGGAAAACCUGAAACAAUCAAAUCUGCUCAUCAACAGCAGAUGCUCCCUCAGCUAAAAGCUAUUUCAUUCUGCUAAUUAUCUAUUAAUUACUGUGCUAUUAAUAUAAUUUAUCCUCAUUUUAUGACAAAAAAUUACAUAUACUAUAUCUCCAAAUGUUUGUAGACAAGACAGACUAAUUUUCCAUUCAGAUACCCUAAAGAGUAUUUUACUUUAAUUAGAAUUAAAAUUUAACUAAAAAUUAAACCCACAAACAUAAAUGUACUAUUCCUAAAUCCAGGUUUGGGCUAUAGAGGGGUAUAAAACCCCCAGCACUGAUCUGUGCAUCCGUGAAACUGUGUUCCCUAGAAUGAUGCUGCUCCACCCAAUUAUUUUCUAAUUACUUAGGGAGAUGCUGAGCAAUCAAAUUCAAAAACCUUUCCAAAGACUACCAAAAAUCUCUCCCAGUGCUCCUCCCACUGCUCCUGCCACUGCUCCACCUGGCCUUGCCCUCAUCUCCUCCUUUUUCUCCUCCAGGAUUCUCUUCUGUUCUUCUUGUAGAGCUUUCUCCACCUUCUGGAACAUCUCAUUAGUGUAGCAGCUUCCUCCAUUCACUGCCACCAUGGAGUCGACCUUCUCCAGUAG